AACCUGCCCAAGAGACUGGGAUAACACCUGGAAACAGAUGCUAAUACCGGAUAACAACACUAGACGCAUGUCUAGAGUUUAAAAGAUGGUUCUGCUAUCACUCUUGGAUGGACCUGCGGUGCAUUAGCUAGUUGGUAAGGUAACGGCUUACCAAGGCAAUGAUGCAUAGCCGAGUUGAGAGACUGAUCGGCCACAUUGGGACUGAGACACGGUCCAAACUCCUACGGGAGGCAGCAGCU
rnacentral:rRNA from 1 species